GUCAAGUCACAUCAGGCUAUUACACUAAUCUCUUCUGGUCGUGUCUACUUAAUUCAGUAGCACAGACUUUUAAGAAGAAGACAAAGAAAACACACUUACUGAUGGCCUGAGGAGCCUAACACAAACUUUUUUCAUUCGUUUCAGUAUAAAUUUUUAUUCACUCACACUAUUUGCACUGAAUUACUGCUGCACCAAUGGAAUACACCAGGGAAAUACAUGCAUUUGGGAGGAAUAUUAUGUAUUUAAAGAUUGUGGGAUUUCUCUGAUCAUUAGAGAAACUCAUCAGGAGAGACCAUGGGAUGUGGUGUCACUAAAAACAGUGAAUUUAAUAGAAGAUAUGACAAAGAUGGAAAUGUCAUCUCAGCAGCCAGAAGUAAGCAUAAUUCCUCUUUUAAUAACAUUAUGAUGUUCAUUUAGUUAGACGGCACAGUGGCUCAGUGGUUAGCACUGUCACCUCAAAGCAACAAGAGUGUUGGUUUAAGUCUCAUGCAUUUCUGUGUGGAGUUUGUAUAUUCUCUUGUGUGGGUCAGGGUUACACAGUAAAAUCUUCAGAGUAAAAUUUACUCAGUUCUGAGAACAUUUGGUCCCUCUCUAAAUUGAGCAAAAUUUACUCAGCAGCAGAGUUAAAGUUAAUGAGACAAUGAUGGGGUUAAUUAAGUGAUGAUUGAGCACUGAUGAUGAACCCCUGCUGUUAAUAAGCAGAAACAAAAGAAGCAGCAGCAGCUUCGCUCAUGGGUUACCUGAUUGACUUUAUUUCUGUCAGAUGUUCACAAAAGUCCAUAUAAGAUUUAUUGAGGAUUAAUCGUUUUUCUUAUUUACAUUUGCCAAAAAAUAAAAAAUAAAAAAAUGUUUUUUUUUUGCCUGAUGUCACCAUCAUGGAGAAAAGUGGUUGAUUUACUUGGACUCGAUUUGUAAUGUCAGUUUUCUUUACUUGCAAUGAUAAGUAUAAAGAGAGCACAAGUAUAAAGAGAGCACAUGUAAUCAUGUUUAUUGAUCCUGUGUGGAUUCUUACUCUUGAUGAGAGUAACUGUACAAUAAAUUACAUUUAGAUGGUGGAAACAAAAUCCAGUGUUUUUCAAGAGAAUGAAUCUCAGGUGUGGUGUUAAAUUAAAAUACAUUGAGCAUCUGAAUCUCUUUAGAGACACAGAUAUCAAUAAUCAGCGGAUCUAUAUCAACAGAGGUUAGAGAUUUUUAUUUUUUUGGCUGCAGUGCAUGUUAAGACAAUCAUACGAGAUUUAUCCAUAGUUCCCAGCAUGCACUGUAGGGAAAAAAAAAACACCAUAGUUGACAAGCAUACGCUGAUUCUUUAUGUCGGUGGGUUUUGAUUGUUCCAGUUGUUCAAUGUGAUCUGAUAAAAGUAUUAGUGAGCUUCAUUUAACUGCACUUAAUACAGUGCUCCUUUUGUGAUACAACAUUAUAUUAAUUUAAUAGGUCACAUCCAAUUCUACUUAUUUGACCAGUGACUAAACCACCACAGAAUCUAUUAUCCAGAGCACAGCUGCUCUCUUUAUGCAAUGUUUGCCACAAUACACCAUUUGGCAAACAAAGAGAAACUAAUGUUAAAAAUCGAGUCCGAGUCCAAGUAAAGCAGCUACUGUUCUCCUCAAUGGUGACAGCUUAAACACAAUUUUUAUUUUUAUUUUUUUAAUGUUGUAAAAAAAAGUUAAUUCUUAAUAUUAUCAAUAUAUGGAAUUUUAUAGAGUGUGGCAGAAAUAAGGCCAAACAGGUUGUUAAUAAGUAAAUCUGCUGUUUGUGGAGUUACUUAAUGAUCCUUUGCUGAGAUUUUGAGAGAUUUGAUUUGUUUUAUUUCCGUUUGUUUAAUCUACGGCUGUGACUAAAGGUAAUGUAGUUUUGUGUUUCUCUUGUUUCUGCUUAUUAACAGCAGGUGUUCAUCAUCAGUCCUCAAGCAUCACUUAAUUAACCCCAUCAUUGUCUCUUUAACUUUAACUCUGCUGCUGAGUAAAUUUUACUCAAUUUAGAGAGGGACCAAAUGUUCUCUGAACUAAGUAAAUUUUACUCUGAAGAUUUUACUGUGUAGGGUUAGAUCCAAAACAUGUGGUACAGGUGGAUUGACUAAACACAAUUGACCUGAGUGUGUAGUGUAAGUUUGGGUAUGGGUGUUUCCCAGUGCUGGGUUGUGGCUGAAAGGGUAUCUGCCAUAUAACACACAUGCCAGAGUAGUUAGUGGUUCAAUCCACUAAGGCAACCCCUAAUGAAUUAGGGACUAAAAUGAAGAAGAGUGACCAAGGGUUUGUUUGUUCAUUUUUGAGGUGUAAACUACAUAUUUAACAAUUGCAGUAUUGAAUAUAAAUAGUAAUCUAUGAGGUGCCUUUAGGAUUUAAAUCAAACCUUUCGUAUUAACACAUAAGCGAAGCACCUUUACGCAAUUUUAUUUUUUGAUAUAAUCAAAACAAACUUUUCACACAUCCAAGAACUACAAUAACCUGCCUAGUUAAUCGAAUUAGUUAAGACCUUAAAUGUCACUUUAAGCUGUAUAGAAGUGUAUUGAAACAUAUCUAGUUAAAUAUUAUUUACUGUCAUCAAGGCAAAGAUAAAAGAAAUCAGUUAUUAGACAUACGUUAUUAAACUAUUAUGUUAAGAAAUGUUCUGAAAAAAAAUAAAACUCUGUUAAACAGAAAUUGGGGAAAAAAAUAAACAGGGGGGUAAUAAUUCAGGGGGGCUAAUAAUUCCAACUUCAACUGUACAUAAAACUUGUGAAUAUACAUAAAAACUUGAUACAUCCAUACACCCACAUACAUAUACAAAUACAAAUAAACUCGCUGCAAGCAAAAACACAUUUGUACACCUUCGCAUAUAAAUAUAAACUUGAUCUGCA
ensembl:lincRNA